rnacentral:ncRNA from 1 species
GAUAGAGGCGCGGUAUCCAUCAGUACCUCCCGCAAGGCCAGGCAGCCGGGGAAGGGAAAGGGGCCACCGCCGAAGUGUCCAGACAAUGCCUGUUGUCCGGUUGCUGGGUCGGCAGAGAAGAUCUGCCGGACUGUCACAAGUUUUUUUGUGAAGCGCUAUCA